GAUGAACGCUGGCGGCGUGCCUAAUACAUGCAAGUCGAGCGAACGGACGAGGAGCUUGCUUCUCUGAUGUUAGCGGCGGACGGGUGAGUAACACGUGGAUAACCUACCUAUAAGACUGGGAUAAUUUCGGGAAACCGGAGCUAAUACCGGAUAAUAUUUUGAACCGCAUGGUUCAAAAGUGAAAGACGGUCUUGCUGUCACUUAUAGAUGGAUCCGCGCUGCAUUAGCUAGUUGGUAAGGUAACGGCUUACCAAGGCAACGAUGCAUAGCCGACCUGAGAGGGUGAUCGGCCACACUGGAACUGAGACACGGUCCAGACUCCUACGGGAGGCAGCAGUAGGGAAUCUUCCGCAAUGGGCGAAAGCCUGACGGAGCAACGCCGCGUGAGUGAUGAAGGUCUUCGGAUCGUAAAACUCUGUUAUUAGGGAAGAACAUAUGUGUAAGUAACUGUGCACAUCUUGACGGUACCUAAUCAGAAAGCCACGGCUAACUACGUG
rnacentral:rRNA from 1 species